GUAGGUGAACCUGCGGAAGGAUCAUUAACACGUAUCCAACGUUAAAAACCCCCGUGAACCUACAACAUACGUCUCCGCUAACGAUACCCAUGGUUGCAAUCCUUGGUAAAUCAUUGCCGAACAGUUUUGAUUCAGGGACAUAAAAGUGCAGACGGGUUCCACGACCCAGGAGUCAAAAGCUGUCAGCGAGUGGCAAGUGAGGGAGUCAGUCAGGGGGUUGUUAAAGUGUUCAACCUGAUUGUCAACUUGUAAGUUGAGAGUGUCUUUUGAUUUUGAACGGGUAGACCACCCCAGGUGGGUCACUGUGGCCGACACGGCCGUGACGGGAUUCUGGCGUCGUGCCUAGACACGAAAGCGCCGACAUGACCUCUUGAAACGACAGGGGCGUAACCGGACCAAUUUUUAAUCUGCCCCUUACCCUAACAGGUACUCGGGUGUCAAACGAACAACUGUUAACAAUGGAUAUCUUGGUUCUC
rnacentral:misc_RNA from 1 species